AGGACGAACGCUGGCGGCGUGCUUAACACAUGCAAGUCGAACGGAAAGGCCCUUUCGGGGGUACUCGAGUGGCGAACGGGUGAGUAACACGUGGGUGAUCUGCCCUGCACUUUGGGAUAAGCCUGGGAAACUGGGUCUAAUACCGCAUGUGAUCUUCGGAUUAAAGCUUCGGCGCUUUGGGAACGGCCUGCGCAUGAUUAGCUUGUUGGUGGGGUAAUGGCCUACCAAGGCGACGACGGGUAG
rnacentral:rRNA from 1 species